UACGAAGGGGGCUAGCGUUGUUCGGAAUCACUGGGCGUAAAGCGCACGUAGGCGGAUCUUUAAGUCAGGGGUGAAAUCCCGAGGCUCAACCUCGGAACUGCCUUUGAUACUGGGGAUCUCGAGUCCGGGAGAGGUGAGUGGAACUGCGAGUGUAGAGGUGAAAUUCGUAGAGUAUUCGCAAGAACACCAGUGGCGAAGGCGGCUCACUGGCCCGGAACUGACGCUGAGGUGCGAAAGCGUGGGGAGCAA
rnacentral:rRNA from 1 species